GACGAACGCUGGCGGCGUGCUUAACACAUGCAAGUCGAACGAUGACGCCCGAGCUUGCUCGGUCUGAUUAGUGGCGAACGGGUGAGUAACACGUGAGCAACCUGCCCUUCACUCUGGGAUAACCCCGGGAAAUCGGGGCUAAUACCGGAUAUGAGCUCCUGUCGCAUGGCGGGUGUUGGAAAGUUUUUCGGUGAAGGAUGGGCUCGCGGCCUAUCAGUUUGUUGGUGGGGUAGUGGCUCACCAAGGCAAUGACGGGUAGCCGGCCUGAGAGGGCGACCGGCCACACUGGGACUGAGACACGGCCCAGACUCCUACGGGAGGCAGCAGUGGGGAAUAUUGCACAAUGGGCGAAAGCCUGAUGCAGCGACGCCGCGUGAGGGAUGACGGCCUUCGGGUUGUAAACCUCUUUCAGCAGGGAAGAAGCGAAAGUGACGGUACCUGCAGAAGAAGCGCCGGCUAACUACGUG
rnacentral:rRNA from 1 species